CGGCGCACGGGUGCGGAACACGUGUGCAACCUGCCUUUAUCUGGGGGAUAGCCUUUCGAAAGGAAGAUUAAUACCCCAUAAUAUGUUGAAUGGCAUCAUUCGAUAUUGAAAACUCCGGUGGAUAGAGAUGGGCACGCGCAAGAUUAGAUAGUUGGUGAGGUAACGGCUCACCAAGUCAGCGAUCUUUAGGGGGCCUGAGAGGGUGAUCCCCCACACUGGUACUGAGACACGGACCAGACUCCUACGGGAGGCAGCAGUGAGGAAUAUUGGACAAUGGGUGAGAGCCUGAUCCAGCCAUCCCGCGUGAAGGAUGACGGCCCUAUGGGUUGUAAACUUCUUUUGUAUAGGGAUAAACCUACUCUCGUGAGAGUAGCUGAAGGUACUAUACGAAUAAGCACCGGCUAACUCCGUGCCAGCAGCCGCGGUAAUACGGAGGGUGCAAGCGUUAUCCGGAUUUAUUGGGUUUAAAGGGUCCGUAGGCUGAUUUGUAAGUCAGUGGUGAAAUCUCACAGCUUAACUGUGAAACUGCCAUUGAUACUGCAAGUCUUGAGUGUUGUUGAAGUAGCUGGAAUAAGUAGUGUAGCGGUGAAAUGCAUAGAUAUUACUUAGAACACCAAUUGCGAAGGCAGGUUACUAAGCAACAACUGACGCUGAUGGACGAAAGCGUGGGG
rnacentral:rRNA from 1 species